CUGAGCGUGGAACUGAGCACCUCCCGGCCCCCCCAGCAUCUAGGACGGGUGAAAAGGGAGCCUCCAACUCGCCCACCUCAGCCUGCCUUCUUCACUCAGAAACCAACCUAUGACCCUGUGAGCGAGGACCAAGACCCCUUGUCCAGUGACUUCAAGAGGCUGGGCCUGCGGAAGCCAGGCCUGCCCCGAGGGCUGUGGCUGGCGAAGCCCUCGGCGCGGGUGCCGGGCACCAAGGCCAGCCGAGGCAGCGGGGCUGAGGUCACGCUCAUCGACUUUGCACCCUCGUGGGCGCGGGGGUCCCUGCCGGGCCCAGCCAGGGCCAGACCAACUACGCCUUUGUGCCUGAGCAGGCGCGGCCGCCCCCUCCCCUGGAGGACAACCUGUUCCUCCCGCCCCAGGGUGGGGGCAAGCCGCCCAGCUCCGCACAGACGGCAGAGAUCUUCCAGGCGCUACAGCAGGAGUGCAUGAGGCAACUGCAGGCUCCGGCCGGC
rnacentral:sRNA from 1 species